rnacentral:rRNA from 1 species
UGCAAGUCGAGCGAACAGAUGAGGAGCUUGCUCCUUUGACGUUAGCGGCGGACGGGUGAGUAACACGUGGGUAACCUACCUAUAAGACUGGAAUAACUCCGGGAAACCGGGGCUAAUGCCGGAUAAUAUGUUGAACCGCAUGGUUCAACAGUGAAAGACGGUUUUGCUGUCACUUAUAGAUGGACCCGCGCCGUAUUAGCUAGUUGGUGAGGUAACGGCUCACCAAGGCGACGAUACGUAGCCGACCUGAGAGGGUGAUCGGCCACACUGGAACUGAGACACGGUCCAGACUCCUACGGGAGGCAGCAGUAGGGAAUCUUCCGCAAUGGGCGAAAGCCUGACGGAGCAACGCCGCGUGAGUGAUGAAGGUCUUCGGAUCGUAAAGCUCUGUUGUUAGGGAAGAACACAUGUGUAAGUCACUAUGCACAUCUUGACGGUACCUAACCAGAAAGCCACGGCUAACUACGUGCCAGCAGCCGCGGUAAUACGUAGGUGGCAAGCGUUAUCCGGAAUUAUUGGGCGUAAAGCGCGCGUAGGCGGUUUUUUAAGUCUGAUGUGAAAGCCCACGGCUCAACCGUGGAGGGUCAUUGGAAACUGGAAAACUUGAGUGCAGAAGAGGAAAGUGGAAUUCCAUGUGUAGCGGUGAAAUGCGCAGAGAUAUGGAGGAACACCAGUGGCGAAGGCGGCUUUCUGGUCUGCAACUGACGCUGAUGUGCGAAAGCGUGGGGAUCAAACAGGAUUAGAUACCCUGGUAGUCCACGCCGUAAACGAUGAGUGCUAAGUGUUAGGGGGUUUCCGCCCCUUAGUGCUGCAGCUAACGCAUUAAGCACUCCGCCUGGGGAGUACGGUCGCAAGACUGAAACUCAAAGGAAUUGACGGGGACCCGCACAAGCGGUGGAGCAUGUGGUUUAAUUCGAAGCAACGCGAAGAACCUUACCAAAUCUUGACAUCCUUUGACCGCUCUAGAGAUAGAGUUUUCCUCUUCGGAGGACAAAGUGACAGGUGGUGCAUGGUUGUCGUCAGCUCGUGUCGUGAGAUGUUGGGUUAAGUCCCGCAACGAGCGCAACCCUUGAACUUAGUUGCCAUCAUUCAGUUGGGCACUCUAAGUUGACUGCCGGUGACAAACCGGAGGAAGGUGGGGAUGACGUCAAAUCAUCAUGCCCCUUAUGAUUUGGGCUACACACGUGCUACAAUGGACAAUACAAAGGGCAGCGAAACCGCGAGGUCAAGCAAAUCCCAUAAAGUUGUUCUCAGUUCGGAUUGUAGUCUGCAACUCGACUACA